CUGCCACCGUCCUCCAGCCGCCCACUAGAUACAGACAUAGACGGUUUACCGAUGGAAGAUGAUGAAGACAUUGAUGGAGUGCCACUCGACAACGAAGACGCCCCAACAAAGUCGGCAACAUUCGUGCCAUCCAGAUGGGAAACAGUGGAUCCAGAACAAGCUGAGGCAGAAGCAAUGACAACUAGCAAAUGGGAACUUAUGGAAAUGGGGAAGCUUCAAGAAUCUGCUCCAGAGAAACAGGAAAGCGUGCCUCAGCCCAAGGAUGAGACUUCACAGGACUCAGUUACUCAAGACUCUCAGUCUCAAGAUUUGGAAGAUGUUACCCCAGGUCAUGAUGCUGCAAUCGCUGGUGAUGACGAUUUCGAAGAGCAAAGCUUCGGGAAGUAGAAGUGAAAGUAAUGCAAUACCAAGAUGAAUUGGAAUUUGGCGAUCGAACACUCAAGUCAGGAUGGACUAUUCAACAACAAGUUGCACAUUAUAGGCGGAAACUUCUCAGAAAGGCUGAGAAAGGAGAAAAACUAGAUAGCAAAAAGGAUAAAUCAAGUGAAAAAUCUGUACGUCGCAGCAUAUCACCUGAUGAGUAUGUCGAUAUGGUUGAGAGUCGUAAACAUAAGCGUUCCAGAAGUAAAUCUCGAAGUCUUUCUCCUGGGCAUAAGAAAUCUCAUAGAUCUCAUAGUGGUAGUCGAAGUCCCUCUCGCAAGGUGCACCGUGGGAGAUCUCCUCAGUCUGUGCGAUCCAGCAAAAGUCUUCACAUAUUCAUACGCCCUCUCCACCUCGUAUCAAACGCAAAGCAGCUUCCCCGGAUUCCCCGCAUCGCAGUAGAAGUAGGCGAGAAUACUCACCUCUCUCUCCCUCAUCCUCUUAUCGCUACAAAUAUUCCCGUUCUACCUACUCACCGUCUCCUCCUCCUAGCUCUUCAAGGAAGCAUAAACAUAAACAUAAACAUUGACCCAGUGUAUAUGCAGAACAAUUAUUUCAAUAUAGAUUGGAUUGUGAUGGAUACUCUUCCUGAUGAGACUUACAUUCAGUUUUUGGUGUUUCAAUAG
rnacentral:lncRNA from 1 species